rnacentral:rRNA from 1 species
CUACGGGAGGCUGCAGUGAGGAAUAUUGCACAAUGGGGGGAACCCUGAUGCAGCAACGCCGCGUGGAGGAUGACGCAUUUCGGUGUGUAAACUCCUUUUAUAUGUCAAGAAAAUGACGGUAGCAUAUGAAUAAGCACCGGCUAACUCCGUGCCAGCAGCCGCGGUAAUACGGAGGGUGCAAGCGUUACUCGGAAUCACUGGGCGUAAAGGACGCGUAGGUGGGCUUGUAAGUCAGGUGUGAAAUCCUACAGCUUAACUGUAGAACUGCCCUUGAAACUACGAGCCUAGAGUAUGGGAGGGGGAGAUGGAAUUAGUGGUGUAGGGGUAAAAUCCGUAGAUAUCACUAGGAAUACCUAAAGCGAAGGCGAUCUCCUGGAACAUAACUGACGCUAAGGCGUGAAAGCGUGGGGAGCAAACAGGAUUAGAUACCCGGGUAGUC